GUUGUGGUUAUGAAAACAAGGAAAGGCAAUUACGAUUGUUCAAAAUAGUGUUUAUGUUAUUCCAGCAUUCUCUUGCAUUUUAGGCUUUUGAAUAUAAAUGAUUCUUGAUUGAACUUUGAACUAACCCAGAAAUAUAGCUUGUCCCACUUACUACAGUUUGUGGAUCAAAAACUCCUGCAUACAUGAGCAGGUAGUAGAUAUGCAGGGGCCUAGACUGACAUUUCACGAAUAUCUCAAUAUUUGGGGCCACUAUCUUUUUGGUCAUUAGCAAACCAUUAUGGCAAUAUUCUCAAGUUUAAUUUCCAAUCAAUUUGGUAUAAUUUACUGGUAUUCCAACCAAAAUUAUUCAACAAAACCAUGUGCCUUACAACAGAAACACUGCAAUGAAAUCGUGCAUUUCCCUACUACCAAGCGUCACUGGUGCUGUCUCUUUACAUUUUCAAUUCAAUUCAAAGUAACAUUUAUUUGAUUCCUUUUCCAGUUUAAAUACAAGCAAUUUUAGAAUAAAAAAUCAAAACAAUCUGUGGAAAAGGGAAAUACAUAGACCCAGUAAGAUAAAAACUCUUGUGGAGGGUCAGCCUGAAACAAUACGACAAGGGGACACAAAAACAAGCACAAAGAAAGAGGACACAACUCAGGACAAAGAAGACACAACCCAGGGCAAAGAAGACACAACCCAGGGCAAAGAAGACACAACCCAGGGCAAAGAAGACACAACCCAGGGCAAAGAAGACACAACCCAGGGCAAAGAAGACACAACCGAAAAAAGAAAGCAAACAAUUCAAAUUAUACCAAGAAACCGAACACAAUUAUAGUGAAAAAAGUGUUAAACACCAAGAAAGAUGAAUGAAUCAGGAAUCUCUGAUAAUGAAUUCAGAGAAAUAUUAUCAUCCAUGUCAGGAUGGUAUGAUUGCCAUGGAUACAUCGCUAUGCUGAAGGUUUUGUAUAGAGAUCUUGUAACUGAACAUGAUAAGCUAUAUGCUGCCACCAACGUGAUUGAAUUGUUUGAAUUAUUAUGUGCCUCUGGACAUCUGAGUCCCACAGAUCCAACAGUACUGUACGAUAUUAUCAAUGUCACUAAGCCAUUUGGCUUGGAACCAGAAAUAAGUAAGUUGACAGUGAAGACAUCUUUUGAUAUCAGGACAGUCA